UACGUAGGGGGCAAGCGUUGUCCGGAAUCAUUGGGCGUAAAGCGCGUGUAGGCGGGUCGGUAAGUCCGCUCUGAAAGCCCGGGGCUCAACCCCGGGAGGCGGGUGGAUACUGUCGACCUCGAGUCCGGAAGAGGCGAGUGGAAUUCCUGGUGUAGCGGUGAAAUGCGUAGAUAUCGAGAGGAACACCAGUGGCGAAGGCGAGUCUCUGGACGACUCCUGACACUGAGGCACGAAAGCUAGGGGAGCAAACAGG
rnacentral:rRNA from 1 species